AUUACGUAUCUUUUAUAUUAUCAAAAGAAGACAACCAUGUAAAGCCACGUCCCACGUUGAAUCUUCUUAUGUAUAGUAUAACUGUAUAAGUAGAGAGUAAAGGAGAAGAAGAACAUUAUCACAACCAUCCAAAUCUUCAAGAUGUGAAAACAUUAGCCAAAAAAAAGUCCCAUCUUGUAGCGAUAUUUACCAUUUCGAUUCUUCCUAUGAUCAAUUCCACAUCGCCAAGCCGGGAGAGGUUCUUCACAUCGAUAUUCUAGACAUAGAUACCACCGUGGAGCUACUCUUGGGUGUAAACCUAAGAAUAAAUGAUUGCUCACAAACUUGGUAAUUAAGCACAUAAAUGAUUGCUCACAAACUUGGUAAUUAAGCACACCGUACAUCUACUUGGAAGUGACAGUCCUUUAUGUGACACUCAAGAUCUGCUCUCGUAGUAACAAGGAAAAAAGGCAACAAAAAAAGAUGAAAGUCAGGAUUGGAACUCCUCACCAAAAAAGAUGCAUGGGGCACCUAGGUAACAAUUAAACUGUGUAACUAAACUAACCAAAUGUAUUAGAUAAUUUUUAACAAGUAGCAUGGGGCACGUGCCCCACCCCAUCACUACAUAGAUCCACCCCUGGUUAUAUCCCCAUCCACUUACACUUAAGGUCGAUGUCAAUAGUAUGAUAAUAAAUGUUACUUUGACGUAAAGCAUCUUAUGGCGAGAGCAGCGGUUUCAUCUAUUAUUGGUGUUGCAUAGAUCAUCCAAAUUAUCCAUGCUUGUCUGGUUAAACAACGGAAGCUUUGUCAGAGAUCUCCCAAGGGUUUAUUUUAUCGUUGAGUUUGCUAUGUUUUCAGCUUUUUCGUCGUAUAAAAAUCUUGUUGUGAAUUCUUCUUCACAGUGGCUUUUAUCAAUAAAAAUCGGGUUCAAAAUAAUUCCAUUGAUGUAAAAUAUUACGAGAGAAGUGAGAAGAGCUGUUAUGAUCUUAUUUUCCCAUUA